rnacentral:lncRNA from 1 species
AUGCCCAUCUUCCUCUACUUUAUACGUGGGAUGCCUACCACAGCAUGGUAUGCCAAGCGGUGCCAUGUCCGCACCUGGGAUCCGAACCGGCAAACCCGGGGCCGCCGAAGUAGAAUGUGGCACUUAACCGCUGCACCACCCGGCCAGCCCCUCUGCCUUAUUUCUCGAUUGGUUCAGGACUCCAGUGAGCAAGUGAGGAAGAAAGGGGAUGCUAUUCACCGGGACCCUUCAAACACCUGCACAUUCUGGAUCCUCUUUUGGAAACAAGCACCACUAUUCCGGCUGCUCUCAGGCACGAAAUCACAGCUCCAACCGUAUCAGAAGGAACACAAAGUCCGGCCUUUCAGAUGGGGCAUUCCCAGGAGGCAAGGUCAAACGGGUUAGGAAAAGUGCAAGCAGUCUUCCUGCCCCUCCUUUCCUAGGACCAAAGACUUGAAGUUCCCUGCAAGCACAGAUCCAUACCACAUGGCUGAACACAGACUUGCUCCUAAGCAUACAUGACGGUUAACUAUGGCAAACCAAGGAGCAGAGGUGUUUGAAUUCAAGAGCCUUGAGAAUUUCAUUUUACUGCAUCCCACCUCCCCUCUGGUCCACUGAAGCUGGAGCUGGAACUGGAGGUGGGUCAGGUGAGUGGUUACCUGAAGUGAACAGAUGUAGGAAGAACCAGAGAGUAGGGGCAUGUCACAAAUGACAGCAUGAGAUCGUCAAAGUUAGGGAAGCCCGAGAGGGUUCCUGAGUCCAAAGGACAAGUGUGGAGUUAGACCUGAGAGAUAAGACAAAACAGAGCAAAUGCUGGGAAGAUCCCAAGACAAGACAGUUAAGAGGAUCAGAGCAGAGUGAAGGAAGAGAGUGCAAAACCAUUGUCUCAAAAGCUCC